GACGGACGCUGGCGGCGUGCUUAACACAUGCAAGUCGAACGGAAAGGCCCUGCUUUUGUGGGGUGCUCGAGUGGCGAACGGGUGAGUAACACGUGAGUAACCUGCCCUUGACUUUGGGAUAACUUCAGGAAACUGGGGCUAAUACCGGAUAGGAGCUCCUGCUGCAUGGUGGGGGUUGGAAAGUUUCGGCGGUUGGGGAUGGACUCGCGGCUUAUCAGCUUGUUGGUGGGGUAGUGGCUUACCAAGGCUUUGACGGGUAGCCGGCCUGAGAGGGUGACCGGCCACAUUGGGACUGAGAUACGGCCCAGACUCCUACGGGGGGCAGCAGUGGGGAAUAUUGCACAAUGGGCGGAAGCCUGAUGCAGCGACGCCGCGUGCGGGAUGACGGCCUUCGGGUUGUAAACCGCUUUCGCCUGUGACGAAGCGUGAGUGACGGUAAUGGGUAAAGAAGCACCGGCUAACUACGUGCCAGCCGCCGCCGUAA
rnacentral:rRNA from 1 species